rnacentral:rRNA from 1 species
CCUACGGGAGGCAGCAGUGAGGAAUAUUGGUCAAUGGACGAGAGUCUGAACCAGCCAAGUAGCGUGAAGGAUGACUGCCCUAUGGGUUGUAAACUUCUUUUAUAUGGGAAUAAAAUGUUCCACGUGUGGGAUUUUGUAUGUACCAUAUGAAUAAGGAUCGGCUAACUCCGUGCCAGCAGCCGCGGUAAUACGGAGGAUCCGAGCGUUAUCCGGAUUUAUUGGGUUUAAAGGGAGCGUAGGUGGAUUGUUAAGUCAGUUGUGAAAGUUUGCGGCGCAACCGUAAAAUUGCAGUUGAAACUGGCAGUCUUGAGUACAGGAGAGGUGAGCGGAAUUCGUGGUGUAGCGGUGAAAUGCUUAGAUAUCACGAAGAACUCCGAUUGCGAAGGCAGUUCACUGGACUGCAACUGACACUGAGGCUCGAAAGUGUGGGUAUCAAACAGGAUUAGAUACCCCUGUAGUC